AUAGUCCAGCGGAGGGAGGGUGGGGGUUCAGGAGGUGGGCGUGGGGCAGGCAAGGGGCGGGCAAUGGAGAAGGAGCAUGGAGCAUGGUACCAGGGUGGAGUGGAUGGAGGGAGGAGCCAUGGAGGAGCCCGGAGCAGUAGGAGCCAGAUGGAUAUCCAGAGGCCAGCCAGGAUAGCGGCCCAUGGUGGAGUCGACGGUGGGAGGAGCCAUGGUGGAGGAGGGGCCGACAACACCAGGGGGCCGACUGACGGAGACUGAGCCGAUGGUAGAGGAGUCCAAGACGGAGCCGAGCAACCGCAGAGCCAGGGUGACCCCGAGGAUCCGGAGGGCCAAGGCGGAGCAGAAGGCUCAGGCGACCAAGGCGGAGGCGGGGCACCGGAAGACCGCUGCGGAGCCGGAGUGACUGAGGAUGGAGGUGGAGCCGAAGGGAAGGAGGAGCCUGACAGAGCCGGAGGGAUGGAGCGACGAGGCGAAGCCAGAGGAAUGGAGUCCCGAGGCGGCGGAUGGUCGACGACUGACCAAGGUGGAGCCGGAGGGACGAGGGAGCCCGGUGGAGCAGGUGGGAUGCCGAGCCACGGUGGAGACGAGGGAGCUAGGAGCCAAGGCGGAGCCGCCGGGUCGAAGGACCGAGGAGGAGUCCAGGACUCGGAGGCUGGAGGCGGAGGCAGGGAAUCCACACGCCCAGGUGGAGGUGGUGACUGGAAGUCCUGCGGCGAAACUCCGCGCCCAGAUGGCGCGGACUGAGGGUGAGCUGCGGGACUGACUGGCAGCAGCGGGGAUGAGGACGAGGAACUGACAGGUCGAAGAGGAGGCGGGAGAGGGAGGAUGGGAGGGAACACAGAAGGAUCAGGGCUGGACGGAACCAGCGGAAAAACAGGAGAAUCAGGGCUGGGCGGAACCAGCAGAGAAACAGGAGGGUCAGGGCUGGACGGAACCAGCGGAGAAACAGAAGGGUCGAGGCUGGGCGGAACCAGCGGAAGAGGAGCAGAGGAAUUGACAG
ensembl:lncRNA